GCGUAUAAGGGGCCAGAGGGCAUGGUAAGCCGAAGGGGGCAAGCUGGAAUAGGAAUUAGUGGGGGGAAGAGGUGAGCAGGCGGGGUUGCAAGACCGAUGUUAAAUCCCCGUGCUUAAACUGGGAACUGCAGUGGGGACUGCAUCGCUGGAGUAUGGCAGAGGGGGGUAGAAUUCCACGUGGAGCAGUGAAAUGCGUAGAGAUGUGGAGGAAUACCGAUGGCGAAGGCAGCCCCCUGGGCCAAUACUGACGCUCAUGCACGAAAGCGUGGGGAGCAAACAGGAUUAGAUACCCGAGUAGUC
rnacentral:rRNA from 1 species